rnacentral:rRNA from 1 species
UAUCUCUGUAGAGUCUGCAUAUCAAUAAGCGGAGGAAAAGAAACUAACAAGGAUUCCCUUAGUAACGGCGAGUGAAGCGGGAAGAGCUCAAAUUUGAAAUCUUCAAGGUUCUACCUUGACGAAUUGUAGUUUAAAGAAGUGUUUUCUGUUAGAUGAGUAGCAAAAGUUCCUUGGAAUGGGACAUCAUAGAGGGUGAGAAUCCCGUAUUUGGUUAUUCAUUCUAGCUUUGUGAUACACUUUCAAAGAGUCGGAUUGUUUGGGAAUGCAGUCCAAAAUGGGUGGUAAAUUUCAUCUAAAGCUAAAUAUUGGCGAGAGACCGAUAGCGAACAAGUACCGUGAGGGAAAGAUGAAAAGAACUUUGAAAAGAGAGUUAAAGCAGUACGUGAAAUUGUCAAAAGGGAAGCGUUUGACACCAGUGUUGUUUUUCCGAAAAUCAAUUACGAAUGGCUUGAUUCUGUGUUGUAUUGACCUUAUCAACUUUCUUCACUUUUUUCGAGUCUUUCUUAAUGCACUUUUCGGUUAACAAGUCAACAUCAAUUUCUUUUGUUGUAAAAGAGUAUUCGGAAGGUGGCUUUCUUUUCGGAGAAAGUGUUUAUAGCCCUAUACUUCUACAAUCGGAGAGAUUGAGGUCUGCAGCGUAGAUCCUUCGGGGUUAGAUACACUUGUGCUAAGUUGCUAGCCUUUUCAUAGACAACUUGUUGACUAUGUUUAGUCAUGCGGCUUACUCGCUUAUGCUAUUUUACCUACGCUUAGGAUGUUGACGAGACUGUCGAUCUC